UACAGAGGGGGCCAGCGUUAAUCGGAAUUACUGGGCGUAAAGCGUGCGCAGGCGGUUUUGUAAGUCUGUCGUGAAAUCCCCGGGCUUAACCUGGGAAUGGCGAUGGAGACUGCAAGGCUAGAAUCUGGCAGAGGGGGGUAGAAUUCCACGUGUAGCAGUGAAAUGCGUAGAGAUGUGGAGGAACACCGAUGGCGAAGGCAGCCCCCUGGGCUAAGAUUGACGCUCAUGCACGAAAGCGUGGGGAGCAAACAGG
rnacentral:rRNA from 1 species